GCGAGUCGAACGGUAACAGACCGCUGGGAUCCCUUCGGGGUGACCUUGGUGCUGACGAGUGGCGGACGGGUGAGUAACGCUUGGGAAUCUACCCUGUAGUGGGGGACAACCCGGGGAAACUCGGGCUAAUACCGCAUACGUCCUACGGGAGAAAGAGGGCCUCUUCUUGAAAGCUCACGCUACUGGAUGAGCCCAAGUCGGAUUAGCUUGUUGGUGAGGUAAUGGCUCACCAAGGCUACGAUCCGUAGCUGGUCUGAGAGGACGAUCAGCCACACUGGGACUGAGACACGGCCCAGACUCCUACGGGAGGCAGCAGUGGGGAAUAUUGGACAAUGGGGGCAACCCUGAUCCAGCAAUGCCGCGUGUGUGAAGAAGGCCUGCGGGUUGUAAAGCACUUUCAGCAGAGAAGAAAAGCCUAGGGCUAAUACCUCUGGGUCUUGACGUAACCUGCAGAAGAAGCACCGGCUAACUCCGUGCCAGCAGCCGCGGUAAUACGGAGGGUGCGAGCGUUAAUCGGAAUUACUGGGCGUAAAGCGCGCGUANGCGGUCUGGUCAGUCGGAUGUGAAAGCCCCGG
rnacentral:rRNA from 1 species